rnacentral:rRNA from 1 species
GCAGCCUGAUGCAGCCAUGCCGCGUGUGUGAAGAAGGCCUUCGGGUUGUAAAGCACUUUCAGCGGGGAGGAAGGCGAUGAGGUUAAUAACCUCGUUGAUUGACGUUACCCGCAGAAGAAGCACCGGCUAACUCCGUGCCAGCAGCCGCGGUAAUCAUGG